CCUACGGGUGGCAGCAGUGAGGAAUAUUGGUCAAUGGGCGGAAGGCUGAACCAGCCAAGCCGCGUGAGGGAUGAAGGUUCUAUGGAUCGUAAACCUCUUUUAUAAGGGAAUAAAGUGUGGGACGUGUCCUGUUUUGUAUGUACCUUAUGAAUAAGGAUCGGCUAACUCCGUGCCAGCAGCCGCGGUAAUACGGAGGAUCCGAGCGUUAUCCGGAUUUAUUGGGUUUAAAGGGUGCGUAGGCGGCCUUUUAAGUCAGCGGUGAAAGUCCGGGGCUCAACCAUAGGAUAGCCGUUGAAACUGGCAGGCUUGAGAUGGAGAGAGGCAGGCGGAAUGCGUGGUGUAGCGGUGAAAUGCUUAGAUAUCGCGCAGAACCCCGAUUGCGAAGGCAGCAUGCC
rnacentral:rRNA from 1 species